CACAGAACUUCCCCAUUAAAAUCACUCAAGCUAAUAAGAAGCAUUUAUACUAGUUACAUGAGUUAUAUUCAACUCCAGUAAAGAGACAUAUUGCAAGAAAAGAGAGCUCAUUCGAUCAUUAAAUUUAAAAAUAUCUUGAAAAUAAAAAUAUGGUAGGCAACACGAGGAUUUUAUUUUAAAAAAUAAAUGGUACAGAAACAAGUACAGUCGAUGAAUAAAACAAAUGACAUUAUUUAUACAGCCAAUUCAG
rnacentral:misc_RNA from 1 species